rnacentral:rRNA from 1 species
CCUACGGGAGGCAGCAGUGGGGAAUAUUGGACAAUGGGCGAAAGCCUGAUCCAGCCAUGCCGCGUGUGUGAAGAAGGCCUUCGGGUUGUAAAGCACUUUCAGUGGGGAAGAAAGCCUUGGGGCUAAUACCCUCGAGGAAGGACAUCACCCACAGAAGAAGCACCGGCUAACUCCGUGCCAGCAGCCGCGGUAAUACGGAGGGUGCGAGCGUUAAUCGGAAUUACUGGGCGUAAAGCGCGCGUAGGCGGUCUGAUAAGCCGGUUGUGAAAGCCCCGGGCUCAACCUGGGAACGGCAUCCGGAACUGUCAGGCUAGAGUGCAGGAGAGGAAGGUAGAAUUCCCGGUGUAGCGGUGAAAUGCGUAGAGAUCGGGAGGAAUACCAGUGGCGAAGGCGGCCUUCUGGACUGACACUGACGCUGAGGUGCGAAAGCGUGUGUAGCAAACAGGAUUAGAUACCCGAGUAGUC